UGAGGAAUAUUGCACAAUGGGGGAAACCCUGAUGCAGCAACGCCGCGUGGAGGAUGACGCAUUUCGGUGUGUAAACUCCUUUUAUAUGUCAAGAAAAUGACGGUAGCAUAUGAAUAAGCACCGGCUAACUCCGUGCCAGCAGCCGCGGUAAUACGGAGGGUGCAAGCGUUACUCGGAAUCACUGGGCGUAAAGAGCGCGUAGGCGGGUUAAUAAGUCAGAAGUGAAAUCCUAUGGCUCAACCAUAGAACUGCUUUUGAAACUGUUAACCUAGAGUUCGGGAGAGGCAAAUGGAAUUCCUGGUGUAGGGGUGAAAUCCGUAGAGAUCAGGAGGAAUACCGAAAGCGAAGGCGAUUUGCUGGAACGAUACUGACGCUGAGGCGCGAAAGCGUGGGGAGCAAACAGG
rnacentral:rRNA from 1 species